rnacentral:misc_RNA from 1 species
UCUAGAAAAGUAAAUAAAAAUUAAAAGCUAGACUCGUUAGUCAGAAGAUAGACUAUAAUUGUUGAAAUUUCAAAAGAUGUAGUAUGUACUUUCGAUUAGACGCACGGAAUAUCACUCAACGAUAAAUAUAACUUCUUUUGUUCAAAAGAAACUGACAAAUUCAACAGAUAAUAAGUAUCUUAUAAUCAACCAGAAAAGUCACUAUUAUCAAAUAAAGCUUGAUCAUAUAGUUCUCCCUUCACUAAACGUCCACCGAAAUAACGACCAUUCAAAGAAUCCCUUGCACGUUCCGCUUCUAAACACUCAUCUGAGAAAAUUCAACAAAUAUUUUUACGAUAACUUCCGCAUCUUCGUCAUCUUCCGAUUGUCGUUCAUUAUAAAUAAUAACUCUUUCUACAACUCCAAAUUUAGAACAUUCAUCUUGAAUUUCUUCUUGUAAACUUUCAUCUACAUCUUCUGGGGCUACCAUAUUUCGUAAAAUAACAACACGGGAUUCAACUUUGCGCAUAAGUUUCUGCAUAACAAGAUGACGCGCACUUUGUCCUUUGAUCGACAUAUUUUCUUGUUGUUGUAAUGUUUGGGGUUCUGUCUCUUCUAACAAUUUCUUCUGUAAUUCUUCCUGUUGUUUUUGAUGAGCUGCUUGUUCUUGUGCCCGUCUCAUAAUAUCGGAAUUCGUCGUAGUUGUAACAGGUAU